GGAGAGAUGGCUCAGUGGUUAAGAGCACUGGCUGCUAUUCCAGAGGACUUGGGUUCAAUUCCCAGCACCC
rnacentral:tRNA from 1 species